rnacentral:rRNA from 1 species
CCUACGGGGUGCAGCAGUCGAGAAUCAUUCACAAUGGGGGAAACCCUGAUGGUGCGACGCCGCGUGGGGGAAUGAAGGUCUUCGGAUUGUAAACCCCUGUCAUGUGGGAGCAAAGUAAAAAGAUAGUACUACAAGAGGAAGAGACGGCUAAAUCUGUGCAAGCAGCCGCGGUAAUACGGAGGUCGCAAGCGUUGUUCGGAAUCACUGGGCGUAAAGCGUGCGUAGGCUGUUUCGUAAGUCGUGUGUGAAAGGCGCGGGCUCAACCCGCGGACGGCAAAUGAUAUUGCGAGCCUAGAGUGAGGGAGGGGGAACCGGAAUUCUCGGUGUAGCAGUGAAAUGCGUAGAUAUAGGGAGGAACACUCGUGGCGAAGGCGGGUUCCUGGACAUUAACUGACGCUGAGGCACGAAGGCCAGGGGAGCGAAAGGGAUUAGAUACCCUAGUAGUC